GACGAACGCUGGCGGCGUGCUUAACACGUGCAAGUCGAACGGAAAGGCCCUGCUUUUGUGGGGUGCUCGAGUGGCGAACGGGUGAGUAACACGUGAGUAACCUGCCCUUGACUUUGGGAUAACUUCAGGAAACUGGGGCUAAUACCGGAUAGGAGCUCCUGCUGCAUGGUGGGGGUUGGAAAGUUUCGGCGGUUGGGGAUGGACUCGCGGCUUAUCAGCUUGUUGGUGGGGUAGUGGCUUACCAAGGCUUUGACGGGUAGCCGGCCUGAGAGGGUGACCGGCCACAUUGGGACUGAGAUACGGCCCAGACUCCUACGGGAGGCAGCAGUGGGGAAUAUUGCACAAUGGGCGGAAGCCUGAUGCAGCAACGCCGCGUGCGGGAUGACGGCCUUCGGGUUAUAAACCGCUUUCGCCUGUGACGAAGCGUGAGUGACGGUAAUGGGUAAAGAAGCACCGGCUAACUACGUG
rnacentral:rRNA from 1 species